UACGUAGGGGGCUAGCGUUGCUCGGAAUCACUGGGCGUAAAGGGUGCGUAGGCGGGUCUUUAAGUCAGGGGUGAAAUCCUGGAGCUCAACUCCAGAACUGCCUUUGAUACUGAAGAUCUUGAGUUCGGGAGAGGUGAGUGGAACUGCGAGUGUAGAGGUGAAAUUCGUAGAUAUCGGGAGGAACACCGGUGGCGAAGGCGGGUCUCUGGACAGUUCCUGACGCUGAGGCACGAAGGUCAGGGGAGCAAACGGG
rnacentral:rRNA from 1 species